GACGAACGCUGGCGGCGUGCUUAACACAUGCAAGUCGAACGGAAAGGCCCUGCUUUUGUGGGGUGCUCGAGUGGCGAACGGGUGAGUAACACGUGAGUAACCUGCCCUUGACUUUGGGAUAACUUCAGGAAACUGGGGCUAAUACCGGAUAGGAGCUCCUGCUGCAUGGUGGGGGUUGGAAAGUUUCGGCGGUUGGGGAUGGACUCGCGGCUUAUCAGCUUGAUGGUGGGGUAGUGGCUGACCAAGGCUUUGACGGGUAGCCGGCCUGGGAGGGUGACCGGCCACAUUGGGACUGAGAUACGGCCCAGACGCCUACGGGAGGCAGCAGUGGGGAAUAUUGCACAAUGGGCGGAAGCCUGAUGCAGCAACGCCGCGUGCGGGAUGACGGCCUUCGGGUUGUAAACCGCUUUCGCCUGUGACGAAGCGUGAGUGACGGUAAUGAGUAAAGAAGCACCGGCUAACUACGUG
rnacentral:rRNA from 1 species